AACGCAUCUUGCGCUCUUUGGUAUUCCGAAGAGCAUGCCUGUUUGAGCGUCAUGAAUCUCUCAAAUACAAGUAAACUUGAUUGUUAACUUUUGUAUUUGGACUUGGAAGCUUGUUGGCGCAAGUCAACUCUUCCUAAAUUCAUUAGCUGGGGUUUAUAUAGUUGGAUCCUUGGUGUGAUAAUUAUCUACGCCUUGAAGUCCCUGUAGACCUUGCUUCAAACCGUCUUGUAAAUGAGACAAUUUUGAAUCAUCUGGCCUCAAAUCAGGUAGGACUACCCGCUGAACUUAA
rnacentral:misc_RNA from 1 species